rnacentral:rRNA from 1 species
CCUACGGGAGGCAGCAGUGAGGAAUAUUGGUCAAUGGACGAAAGUCUGAACCAGCCAAGUACCGUGAAGGAAGACUGCUCUAUGGGUUGUAAACUUCUUUUAUAUGGGAAUAACAUGUUCCUCGUGUGGGAUGUUGUAUUUACCAUAUGAAUAAGGAACGGCGAACUCCGUGCCAGCAGCCGCGGUAAUACGGAGGAUCCGAGGGUUAUCCGGAUUGAUUGGGUUUAAAGGGAGCGUAGGUGGAUUGUUAAGUCAGUUGUGAAAGUUUGCGGCUCAACCGUAAAAUUGCAGUUGAAACUGGCAGUCUUGAGUACAGUAGAGGAGGGCGGAAUUCGUGGUGUAGCGGUGAAAUGCUUAGAUAUCACGAAGAACUCCGAUUGCGAAGGCAGCUCACUGGACUGCAACUGACACUGAGGCUCGAAAGUGUGGGUAUCAAACAGGAUUAGAUACCCCAGUAGUC